GUACGUGAAACCGCUUAGAGCAAAACGAAUGGGCCUUCGAAUUCCGAUGACGAAGCAAUUCAGUCUCGAUAGCGUACGUGCCUGUUGGGUAUGUGUUUGCGCAAGCUUCACUGCCUAGCAUGGUUGCAAGCGUUGUUGAGGCGCAUUUUGUUUUGUCGGUAGGGCGUCGUAACCAGUAGAGUUAAUAAGAAAGCGUUUGAGGGCUAGAUUGUUGGUAGCUUUUGCUUCUUCGGAAGUGAAUGUAAUUAGCGUUUAGUCUGAAUGAAUCGCUACUCUACUGUGGAAAAGUCUUGUACUUUUGCGCAAGAAAACCGGAAGGCUUGAAUGCUGUGUUGUUGAUCCACUUAAUGUGGGCUGCGAUGCAUGCGUUUGGCUGGUAGCUGGAUUUCUAUUGCUUUUGUACGGGACGGUUUACGGCGAGUAGGUCGGUAACCCAUUCGACCCGUCUUGAAACACGGACCAAGGAGUCUAACAUGUACGCGAGUCAUUGAGAUCCUGUACCUCAAAGGCGAAAUGAAAUGUGAAGGUCAAUUUUAUUGGCUGAGACGUGAUCCGGAACUCUAUGUAGUUUCGGCGCAGCGUCCACCCGUUCAACGUGGACUUGUCCUCAGAGCGGAGUGAGAGCGUACAUGUUAGGACCCGAAAGAUGGUGACCUAUGCCUGGGCAAGAUGAAGCCAGAGGAAACUCUGGUGGAGGUCUGAAGCGAUUCUGACGUGCAAAUCGAUCGUCUGACCUGGG
rnacentral:rRNA from 1 species